ACACUGUUACAAUUGUUUUGGCGGUGGUGUUGCCCAUUAUCUGUCCUGUGAUCAUUAUCAUCAUCAUCAUCAUCAUCCGUCAUUUGAGAAGGCUUUUGCUUCACCAAGACUCUGACCAGGAAGCAGUUACUGAAAGUAUUGACCUGGAACCAACGUAUAUGAAUAUCAACUAGAGACCUACUCUAUGUUCUGCUUCCAAUUUUGUUCAAAGAACCUAAAGGGAGGAAAUGCUGAAACACCCCUAAGCUUUUUCAUCCAAGUGCAUCUGCCUCACCUUCAGUUACAGAUGAUGUUGCCAUACAUCGAUGCAGUGAACCAAACUGCCUCAUCUCAGCUUACCACUAAUUUUCCAGCAGUGUACUUUGACUGUUUGUUACUUAUGACUGAUUAACAGUCACUAACUCACUAGGUGUGUCAACAUAUAAACUUUGAUUUGAUACUUAUGCGUUGACACACCACAGAAUUUAUCAUUCUUUUUUUAAUCAUAGAAAUAGUUUUUUAGAGAA